rnacentral:rRNA from 1 species
GACGGAGGAUGCAAGCGUUAUCCGGAAUGAUUGGGCAUAAAGCGUCCGCAGGUGGCAGUUCAAGUCUGCUGUCAAAGACCGGGGCUUAACUUCGGAAAGGCAGUGGAAACUGAACAGCUAGAGUAUGGUAGGGGCAGAGGGAAUUCCUGGUGUAGCGGUGAAAUGCGUAGAGAUCAGGAAGAACAUCGGUGGCGAAGGCGCUCUGCUGGACCAUAACUGACACUCAGGGACGAAAGCUAGGGGAGCGAAUGGG